CCUUCUUCGUCUGACGCCUCUGUUUCCUUCAUCUCAAAUCAUAAAAGAAUCGGUAUAUCUUGUUAGGUUUUUGAGUUGAAAGAAUCGGUAUCUAUUUUGAUAUUGAGGAUUGCUACUCUUCUCCCACCGCUUCACCACCGCAUCUUCCUCCGGCCCUGCAACUCCUUCCUACUACAGCAAACCUUCGAAGAGCAAUUAACACCACUCUGCUUCGUCUAUGUGGCUAUCUUACACUUCUUCUUUGUCUCUCUUUUCAUCGGAGUCUCCGGAUCUAUCUUAUCUUUGCAAUCAGUUUCUCCAGUGGAUCUUCUUCCGUUUACCGAUGCGGCGGAUCUAAAGACACUUCACGAGUGUCUGGUUCAUGGUUAUCGUCGUGCCGCUUUGAGAAGCACUUGGUUUACUUCUGAUCCUGAUGCUCUUCUAAGGUUGGAAUAAGUGACUGGAUUAGCUUUUAGAUUUUUCAUUGGACGUUCAAAGGAUGCAAAGAAGAUGGCUGAGCUUGAGAAAGAGAUAAAAUAACAUAGAGAUUUUGUGCUUCUUGAUGAUGUUGAGGAAGAAUAUCUACGACAUCCUUUAUAAAAUGUUGGCUUUCUUCAAAGGAGCUUUUAAACUCUUUGAAGAUUAUUAUUAUGUCAAAGCCGACGAUGACAUUUACUUGAGACCAGAUCGACUAGGGACGCUUCUUGCCACGGAAAGCUUUCAUCUCUGAAGCGUUUUAUAUCAGGGGGUUGAGAGUAGGAGGGAUCUUCAACGCCUCUGCUUCAUCUCUGAAGCGUUUUGUAUAAACUUCUUCCGCUCCUUCACUCGAUUCUUGAUCACGGGUCAUCUUGGUUUUCUUUGUGGAGGAGAUCGAGUUAGCUGAUGCAAUUGACGAUAAAGAUGCUGAUUUUGCGUACUACAAGAAUGUUUUCAGGGAAGAUUGCAGAGAGAAAUCCAGUUUUUCAGAAAAAGGGUGAUGAGACAAGUUUGGUCAAGCUCUGGACUGCAUCACACCUCUUGGAAGAGAAACAGGUUUCUGUGUUUUACUGGCCUGCCAAAGACAAAUGAAUCUGAACCGGCAGUGAGAACAUUUAUUUUACUUGAAACAUGAUCUAAUAAGUACUUGAAUCGUGGAUACGACACUGGAGAGAAAGAACCAGGAAGAUGUAUAUAUACAUCAAUGAGAAAUGCGUUGGUGGUGAUUCUGGACGUGAAGUCUACACCUUAAGUCACAACUUGUUGUUGGCUCAUGCUGAAGCUGUGGAAGAGUUCAGGAAAUGUGCAAAGUGCAAAGAUGGGAAGAUUGGUAUAGUCCAUAGUCCAAUGUGGUUUGAGCCUUACAAGAAGUCUAGCUCAGAUGAGAUAGUGAAGAGAGCUAUGGAUUUCACUUUAGCAUGAGAGACAGCAGCAAUUGGCUGAGGUACAGAGGAGUCUUUUGCAGACACAAGCGCUAACCAAAGCUCAGACUUUUAUUUAUCAUGUACAUGUGACUUCUGCCAAUUUGACAGACAACACCCGACCUUCACCGUGUCUGGAGUGAACGAAAUUCCUAACAAGGAGAUUUCUACUCUCAAUGGCAAAAAAAAUGUACAAGUAGAGUAUGGGGAAUCAUCAACUUCCACUGCUGCCACCUAUACCUGAACUAAUGAAGCGAGUAAUGUUUUCACAUGAAAACAACGUGAACCGAACCCGUUUCUUUAUAUUACUCUGUUGCUAUGCAUUGCUUCUUCAAGACUUUUCAAUAUUUUUCCAAUUUCAUGUUUUUUUAAUAGUAACAAAAGGGUUCACGUAAUGGCAAU